CAUGCCCCUAGAGAUGUUGCAGGAGUGGCUGUUGUGUGGCAUGUGUGUCUGUAGGUGGCAGAGGAGAGAGGCUAUGUCUAUGCUCAGUGUUCUGACCUGUGAACAUCUGAAUGAUUAGUUGCCUAACAUU